UAGAACUUUUGGUUCCAGAUGGAGAAUGUCUCUGCUAGGAGACACAACAAACAUUCCAUUGCGAUGAGAACUCAGAUUUCAAACUGGCCCCUUUGGACUUAUGACGACCAUUAGCCAACGGGCUAAGAUAGGAGUAACAGCAUUAUAAACGGUAAUCAGUCCAAACUACCAGGGGGGAAAUUCCUAUAUUUCUCCAUAAAGGAGGAAAUUAAGGAGAUGUGCUUGUAUUAAAGGUGGCAAGGGGUGCACACAAGGUAUAUAAUCUUAGUUUUCAACUUGACUACAUCCAGAAUCAACUAAAACCCAAACAUCUCAGCACAACAGUGAGGAGCCUUUUUAAUUGGAUCAUUUGAGUUGAGAAGACCAGACUUCUGGGCCACGUAUUCUAGUGACGGCACAUAGAAUGACAUGGAAGAAAGAAGCUUUUGAUUUUGUCUGCUUGCCCUUGCUCUCACUGGUAAAUCCAUCUAUCCUGUUGCUGAGGCAUUCUUUCACAGGUAUUAAUACCUACUUUUUCAGGGUUCCAUCAUAGACUGAGGACUAGCAGGUCUCUAGGAAUCUUCCAGGACUCCAGUAUGAGGCUGAGACUCGGUUGAACAACUAACUACCAGAUUCCUGGCUUUUGAGUCAGGAAAUAAUUUUUGUUGGAGUACCCAUAUUAAAGCCUAUAUACCAUCCUACA